GCGGAAUCCAUCGCCCUCAGAGUGCAUCUAUUCAGGUAUCAAUUCUAAUAAUUUUCUGAUAGAAACCUGGUUUAUGGGCAGAAUAGUACAUCAUUGCCCUUUUACCUGAAUGCCGAUUGUACAACUAGUAAAACUGGAAUUUGUGAAUUUCAAGAUCUCACUGGAAAAUACACUAAUGGUAACAUUUCUUGUUCAAACUUUCAGACUG
rnacentral:misc_RNA from 1 species